UACGGAGGAUGCAAGCGUUAUCCGGAAUGAUUGGGCGUAAAGCGUCCGCAGGUGGCUGUGUAAGUCUGCUGUUAAAGAGUGAGGCUCAACCUCAUAAAGGCAGUGGAAACUACAUGGCUAGAGUGCGGUCGGGGCAGAGGGAAUUCCUGGUGUAGCGGUGAAAUGCGUAGAGAUCAGGAAGAACACCGGUGGCGAAAGCGCUCUGCUAGGCCGAACUGACACUGAGGGACGAAAGCUAGGGGAGCGAAUGGG
rnacentral:rRNA from 1 species